rnacentral:misc_RNA from 1 species
AAGUCGUAACAAGGUUUCCGUAGGUGAACCUGCGGAAGGAUCAUUAUUGAAUGUAUUAGGCUCGGACUGUCGCUGGCUCUCCGGGGCAUGUGCACGUCCGUGGUCGAAUUCUUCCUUCUCAACCCUGUGCACCUUCGCGUGGAUCUGAGAGGACAUCUGUCUUUUUCGGGUCUGCGUUUCUUUAUCAAACUCUUGUAUGUCUUCAGAAUGUAAACUUGCGUUAAACCGCAUCUUAAUACAACUUUCAACAACGGAUCUCUUGGCUCUC